rnacentral:rRNA from 1 species
GGGGUAAUGAGUGCUUAUUGCACCACAUGUGUUUUUCUUUGAAACAAACUUGCUUUGGCGGUGGGCCCAGCCUGCCGCCAGAGGUCUAAACUUACAACCAAUUUUUUAUCAACUUGUCACACCAGAUUAUUACUUAAUAGUCAAAACUUUCAACAACGGAUCUCUUGGUUCUCGCAUCGAUGAAGAACGCAGCGAAAUGCGAUACGUAAUAUGAAUUGCAGAUAUUCGUGAAUCAUCGAAUCUUUGAACGCACAUUGCGCCCUCUGGUAUUCCGGAGGGCAUGCCUGUUUGAGCGUCGUUUCUCCCUCAAACCGCUGGGUUUGGUGUUGAGCAAUACGACUUGGGUUUGCUUGAAAGACGGUAGUGGUAAGGCGGGAUCGCUUUGACAAUGGCUUAGGUCUAACCAAAAACAUUGCUUGCGGCGGUAACGUCUACCACGUAUAUCUUCAAACUUUGACCUCAAAUCAGGUAGGACUACCCGCUGAACUUAAGCAUAUCAAAAGCGGAGGAA